rnacentral:tRNA from 1 species
GCUCGGGUAGCUCAGCCUGGUUAGAGCGACGGGCUGUGGACCCGUAGGUCCCGGGUUCAAGUCCCGGCCCGAGCCCCA